UUUAUUGUAAUAUUUGUAGAA
rnacentral:piRNA from 1 species